AUGGUGGGCAGCGGAUUUGACUCCGACCAGUCCAGAUCCGUCGACUCGGGUGUCGUCCCGUGCAGGGUUGGAGGACGCAAAGGCCGUCUGCAUUACCCUCCUCCACUACCGGCAGGACUGCACCCGACCGACGGCGAGAUUUGUCGGUGUGAAUCCAUUGCAUUGGCGAAACGGACGAUGAGAUCCUCCGGGGCUGGAUCAUCGCGGUAUAUGCUAAUUGAGAUGUCCGACUGUGAGAAGGAAAAUUUCAAGUCACUCCCUUAUCUGGCCAUUCAUUUGCACGUCUGUGCUUCUGUGAACCAGUCUGCCAGGGCGAUGCCUGCUGCUCUCAGGGCCUUAACUGUCUUGUAUGUGCUUGCAGUUCUUGCUGGAAAUCAGGUGGAAGGGCGGCACCAUCAGCCUGAUUGUCCUUCUUUCUCGUGCGGUCUUCUUGGAAACAUAUCGUCUCCAUUUCGUCGGGCAAGUGAUCCACCUGGGUGCGGCUAUCGAUCUUACGAGCUGGUUUGCAGUGAUACCAAGGCUACGAUAUGCAUCAGCGGUGCAACUUACUAUGUGUCUGGUAUCAACUACAGCAAUUUUUCCUUCUGGGUUGUUGAUGCCGACUUGGAUUUACACAACAGCUGCCCUCUACCUCGGUGGAAUCCUCCAUACCCACACGACAACAUGGAAGUCGAAUUGGACCCCCUUGUAGAUACUCGGGCUUGCUUUGUAAAAUGCUCUCAGGAAGUAAAGGGCACUGUCCUGUGCGAUGGCGGAAAGAGUCGUACCUCUACUCGAGGGGACGUCGUACUUAUUUAUAGGCAGGGGCGCACCUCCCUAAUAGCGCAUACAGUUGAGAUACGAUUACAUCUUGGAGAGGAAGCUAGAUAG
rnacentral:rRNA from 1 species